UGGUGUUAAACGAUCUAAUCGUACUAAGUUUCGGCCUUAGCUUAUAGUAACUAGCAACUAAACACCUU
rnacentral:tRNA from 1 species